UUUAAUUCGACGCAACGCGAAGAACCUUACCAGGGCUUGACAUCCUCUGACCGCAUAUGAAAGUAUGUUUUCUGGCUUCGGUCAGACAGAGAGACAGGUGGUGCAUGGUUGUCGUCAGCUCGUGUCGUGAGAUGUUGGGUUAAGUCCCGCAACGAGCGCAACCCCUACGUUUAGUUGCUAACGCGUGAAGGCGAGCACUCUAGACGAACUGCCGUUGACAAAACGGAGGAAGGUGGGAUGACGUCAAAUCAUCAUGCCCCUUAUGUUCUGGGCUACACACGUGCUACAAUGGCCGGUACAGACGGACGCAAAGCCGCGAGGUGGAGCAAAUCCUAAAAAGCCGGUCUCAGUUCGGAUUGCAGGCUGCAAUUCGCCUGCAUGAAGUCGGAAUCGCUAGUAAUCGCAGGUCAGCAUACUGCGGUGAAUACGUUCCCGGGCCUU
rnacentral:rRNA from 1 species